rnacentral:sRNA from 1 species
UGACCCGCAAGGGUCACCUAGCCAACUGACGUUGUUAGUGAAUUCGAUGUUCACAAUAUUAUAGCCAAUAGAGCCUUUCUAUUGGCUCUUUUUUU